rnacentral:rRNA from 1 species
AACCUCCGCAAUGUGAGCAAUCGCGACGGGGGGAUCCCAAGUGCCAUUCUUAACGGGAUGGCUUUUCUUAAGUGCUUUUGGAAUAAGAGCUGGCAAGACCGGUGCCAGCCGCCGCGGUAACACCGGCAGCUCUAGUGGUAGCAGUUUUUAUUGGGCCUAAAGCGUCCGUAGCCGGUUUAAUAAGUCUCUGGUGAAAUCCUGCAGCUUAACUGUGGGACUGCUGGAGAUACUAUUAGACUUGGGGUCGGGAGAGGUUAGCGGUACUCCCAGGGUAGGGGUGAAAUCCUGUAAUCCUGGGAGGACCACCUGUGGCGAAGGCGGCUAACUGGAACGACCUGACGGUGAGGGACGAAAGCCGGGGGCGCGAACCGG